GUGACACCUUUCCCUCAGCCUGAGUCCUUUCAUGUACCAGUUGCUGCAUCUUCUCCUUUAUUCUCACAUUUACCUUUUCCUUCCUCAGCUAUUUUUUUUCUAAUGUUCCAUAUGUUUCUUCACCAACUAACUUCCCCCAAUCAGCCCAGCUUGGUUCAACUAUACAUUGUCCCUCUAAUAAUGCACCUCUUACACACACUUUAACAGAUAUUUCUAAAUCCUGCUUUACACCUUUCCAACAUGAG